AAAUGUAGAGAAAUUAUGAGCGAGGCAAGAUGUUAGAAGCAUACAUUGUUGUCUAAAUGAGGGAUGACUUUCAAGACUGUUCCCAUAAUUCUCUGGAUUUUGCAAUAAAAUACAAAUAUGGUUGAGAGUGAGAAGGAUGGAUUCUCAUGUGUAGAUCAGAGGGAAGUAAAGGCAUAAGAAGAUAAUCAUCUGGAUCAGCAUUUAAGAUGUAUAUUUUGCUAAGAUGUUGAUACAGGGAAAUUUUAAAAUUUAUGAAUUUCAGUUAUAUUAGUAUGGGCUAAAUUGCCAGGAGAAUUUUACCUAUCUGAUAGCAAUGGAAAAAAAAAGCUUGAUAAUCAUAAAACACAAAAUAUCACAGAAAUAAGUCAAAUAUAUCUACAAAUGCAGCAAAUAUAAAUUACAUUCAUUUUUAAAAACAGCUUUAUUGAGGCAUAAUUUAGAUAAAUUUACAUAACAUUCACCCAUGUUAAGUUUGCUGUUCGUGUGUUGUAGUGCACUUAUGUAGCCAUCAAUAACAAUUCAUUUUAGCC
rnacentral:lncRNA from 10 species